rnacentral:lncRNA from 1 species
UGGCCCACCAACCAUGCCGCAACCAGGUGCCCCACCAACCAUGCCACCACCAGGCGCCCCACCUGGCUCCAUGCCACAACCAGGUGCCCCUCCUGGUUCGGUACCAAUGCAGAUAGCUCCUCUCCCAAGGCCUCCAACACUACCACCUCCAACAUCUGGGGUCCCAGGUGCCCCCAUUCCUAACAACGCAGCACCUCCAUCCAUGUUCCAAACGAAUCCACCGCCACCUGCAGGCCCGACUUCUGGUGCUCCUCCGGCUCCACCGUCUGCUCCACAGCCUGCAUUCUCCUAUGCUCAACCAUCUGAGGGCAACCACUGAUGCUGUUCCUCAGGCAUGUGAAGU